GACCUGCUGGUGAAUGGUUCACACCCACAUUUACUUGCUGAUAACAUCCCAUUUGAAAGUGGGAGAUCCUGGUUCGAUUCCGGGUCAGGUCU